UACGUAGGGUCCGAGCGUUGUCCGGAAUUACUGGGCGUAAAGAGCUACGUAGGUGGUUUGUCGUCGUUGUUCGUGAAAACUCAACAGCUCAACUGUGGGCGUGCGGGCGAUACGGGGCAGACUUGAGUACUGCAGGGGAGACUGGAAGUUCCUGGUGGUAGCGGUGGAAAUGCGCAGAUAUCAGGAGGAACACCGGUGGCGAAGGCGGGUCACUGGGCUGAUGACUGACGCUGAGGCGCGAAAGCGUGGGGAGCGAACAGG
rnacentral:rRNA from 1 species